GGUCUUUAAUUCUCCGGCCCGGCCCGCCCCGCCUGUGGAUCGGAGACAGGAAGUGAGUCAGAGGCAGUGCGGUACUCGGUAGUGGUGAUCUGUCGCUCGCACCCUAGUUUCACAGUUGCCCGUCUCGGCCUCUCCGAUAAGUGUGGAGUGGUCCGCCAGUCAGACGCGUUUCAGUUGUCAUUCGGGAGACCGAGAGCUCGACAUGCCCGGCGAGAAAGAGGACAGCGAAUGGCGGCGGCGGAGGGAGGAAGAGCUGGGCUUCAGGCCGCAGAAGGAGAUCCUCUACAACCAGCUGCUGCCCUACUCGCAGCACUUGGACCGCGAGUCGGCGUUUAUCUUGGGACAGAUCAAGGCCAACCUGGGUCGGGCCGUGCAGCUACGGGAGCUGUGGCCAGGGGUUUUAUUCUGGACCAGAAAACUUUCAACAUAUAUCCGACUGUAUGGGAGGAAGUUCAGCAAAGAAGAUCAUGUAAUAUUUGUUAAGUUGCUAUAUGAAUUAGUUAUCAUGCCGGAACUUGAGAUCAGCAUGAUGCAAGGAUUCACUCGAUUGUUAAUAAAUUUGCUCAAGAAGAAAGAACUCUUAUCAAGAGAGGAUUUACAGUUGCCAUGGAGACCAUUGUAUGUAACAGUAGAAAGAAUUUUGUACUCCAAGACAGAGCACCUUGGGUUAAAUUGGUUUCCAAAUUCGUUCCGACAAGGCUUGUCUUCUAAAUCGUGUGUGCUUAGUAUUUUGCAUAGGUGUUCCAUAGAAAAUCUGCUGAAGACGUUGGUGAAGUGUUGUCGACCGUAUUUUCCAGAUGAUGCUACAGCUGAGAUGUUAGAUGAAUGGCAGCCAUUGAUGUGUCCUUUUGAUGUCACAAUGCAGAAGGCAAUCAGCUAUUUUGAAAUGUUCCUUCCAACCUCUCUUCCACCUUAUUUGCAUCAUAAAGGAUUCAGGCUUUGGUUUGAUGAAUUUAUGGGCCUCUAUGUCUCAGUUCAGAAUCUCCCACAGUGGGAAGGGAACUUGGUAAACCUGUUUGCUCGUUUGGCUACAGAGAACAUUGGGUACAUUGAUUGGGAUGAAUACAUUCCAAAGAUUUUUACCAGAUUUCUGAGAAGUUUAAAUCUGCCAGUAGGAAGCAGUCAAGUGUCAACUUCCAAAUAUUUAUCAAAUGCAUAUGAAAUAGGCCAUGUGGUGGUUUGGAUCACAUCCAUGCUGGGGGGUCCUAGUAAGCUUGCACAGAAGCAUCUGAAUGGGCUUUUUAACAGUAUUGAAUCUUUCUAUCAUCCAUCUAAUAAUGGGAGAUGGUUGAUGAAACUGAUGAAGUUGAUACAACGUCUACCUACCAGUGUUGUUAGAAGACUACACAGAGAACGGUAUAAAAAGCCAACAUGGUUAAACACUGUACCAGACAGCCACAAACUGACAGAACAAGACAUUACUGAUUUUGUGGAAAGCAUUAAACAGCCUGUAGUGCUUGCUAUGUUCAGUAAAAUUGGAAGUCUUGAGGCUGCUCAGGCUCUUCAAAAUCUUGCUCUGAUGCGACCAGAGCUUGUCAUCCCCCCAGUGCUUGAAAAAACCUAUCCUGCGUUGCAGACUUUAACAGAGCCUCACCAACUUACAGCGACACUGAGCUGUGUGAUUGGAGUUGCUCGCAGCUUGGUAUCAGGAGGCAGGUGGUUCCCAGAAGGCCCAACGCAUAUGCUUCCUCUAUUAAUGAGAGCUCUACCUGGGGUGGAUCCAAAUGAUUUUAGCAAAUGCAUGAUCACCUUCCAGUUUAUAGCCACGUUUUCUACUCUUGUGCCUUUGGUUGACUGUUCAUCUAUUUUGCAAGAGAGAAAUGACCUCUCUGAGGUAGAAAAGCAACUUUGCUCAGCAACAGCAGAAUUUGAAGAUUUCGUUCUUCAGUUUAUGGACAGGUGCUUUGCACUGAUCGAAAUUAGCACUCUGGAACAAACCAGAGAGGAGACAGAAACUGAGAAGAUGACUCAUGUGGAAAGCUUAGUGGAACUGGGGCUCUCCUCAACUUUCAGUACUAUUCUCACACAGUGUUCCAAAGAAAUUUUUCAGGUUGCUUUGGACAAGGUGUUUAAUUUUGCUACAACUAAUAUUUUUGAAACUCGAGUGGCUGGCAGGAUGGUGGCAGACAUGUGCCGGGCAGCAUCUAAGUGUCGACCCGCCACAGCUUUGAAACAAUUUGUGCCACAUUGCUGCAACGUAAUAGGUCAACUAACCAUCAAUGAUGAUGUAUUGCAGGAGCAAGAGUUGGAUAAGGAACUGCUAUGGAAUCUUCAGCUGUUAUCGGAGGUUACGCGUGUAGAUGGUGAUAAAUUGCUGAUGUACAAGGAUCAACUUAUAAACAUUCUGCACCGAACACUACACCUAAAGUGUAAGCAAGGAUAUACUCUGGCUGGAAAUUUGUUACAUCAUCUCCUUCGUUCAACUACAUUAAUCUAUCCAAAAGAGUACUGUAGUGUACCAGGUGGUUUUGAUAAACCAUUCACAGAGUACUUUCCCAUUAAGGAUUGGGCAAAGCCAGGGGAUCUGUGGAAACUGGGUAUUCAGUGGCAUGUUCCUUCUGAUGAGGAGAUAACUUUUGCCUACUACUUGCUGGAUAACUUCCUUCAACCUGAGCUUUCCAGACUCAAACGCUGCGCUGAUGGAGAAAUAGAAAUGUCAAGGGAUGAUAUUCACCAGAGUUUGUGUAUUGUACAGAACUGCCUGAUGGGCUCAGGGAGCCUGUUGCCUUUCCUUGGUGGUGACCCCAUACCUGACUUGGCUCCAACUCUAGUAUCUUUGGAAGAGCUGAAACUUUGCAUUGGUGUUAAUUAUGAUACUACAAGAGAAAAUUACAGGGAAGCAAUUGCCCAAGUCAUGAGAAAGCUGCUACAUCAUAUGUUGGAUAACUCUGAAGAUGACACAAAAUCUUUAUUUGUAAUAAUUAAGAUUAUAGGAGACUUGUUGCAGUUUCGUGGCUCUUAUAAACACGAAUUUGACUCCAGAUGGAAAAGCUUUAACCUUGUGAAAAAAUCGAUGGAGAACAGGCUUCAUGGGAAGAAACAACAUAUCAGAGCACUGCUAAUUGAUCGAGUUAUGCUGCAGCAUGAGCUGCGAACUUUGACAAUUGAAGGUUGUGAAUAUAAAACAAUUCACCGUGAUCUAAUGCGAGAUCUUCUGCAGUUGUCGACGAGUACAUACAGUCAGGUGCGAAGUAAAGCCCAGCAUGUUUUCUUCACAGCUUUGGGGACUUACAAUUUUUGCUGUCGAGAUCUUAUUCCACUGGUGCUGAAAUACUUGCGCCCUGACAAACAGAAUACGAGUCAGCAACAAUUGAAAGGUGCUCUGUACUGUCUACUUGGGAACCCCAAUGGAGUCUGCUUGGCCAAUCUCCAUGACUGGGACUGCAUCAUUGCAACAUGGCCAGCUAUAGUCUGUUCCGGACUCAACAAAGCAAUGUUUCUCGAGAAGCCUUCCAUUGUUCGCCUGUUUGAUGACCUUUCAGAGAAAAUCCAUAGACAGUAUGAAACCAUUGGCUUAAAUUUUGAGCUUUCAGAUUGCUGUAUUGAGGUUUCUGCAUCCUUGUGCCAGACAAUUGAUCCAGCUUGUGGUAUGUCUCCUCUUACGGGUAAAGAGAUUGAAAAUGGAAUUCAGAAUCAAAUUGCGAAAAAUAGUGAGUCCUUAAGGAAUUAUGAAAAACUAAUCAAUACCUUGUUGGACCUUCUUGAACAGAGAAACUUACCAUGGAAAUUUGAACAAAUAGCUGUUGGUUUUCUGUCCCUCCUUCUGAGAGAUGAUGUACCCUUACCUAUGAGAGCAAUCAGAUUCUUCAUUCAGAGCCUUAAUCAUGAUGCUUUAGUAAUACGGAAGCUGGCAAUAUCUGCUGUGGCUGGCAUCAUGAAGCAGUUAAAGAGACCUCACAAAAAAAUAGAGAUUGAUCCAUAUGCAAUUAAUGGAUCAAGACCACCAAUAAUCCAGCCAGGAGAUAGGCUUGAUAAUCAGUGGCUUCAUUAUAAUAGCUCUAAUUUGCCAAAGACCAAGGAAGAAUGGGAAGCCUGCUUGUUUGUGGAAAAGACACACUGGGGGUACUAUACCUGGCCUCGAAAGAUGCUUAUUUAUGCUCCACUGGAUCAACAGCCUAAGUUAGGAAGGAGUAAAGAAGAAAUGUCAGAGGCAGAGCAAAUAAUUUAUGAUCAUUUCUCUGAUGUACACUUCGUAGAGAAAUUGAUAAAAUUUUUAUCCUUGGAAGACCGAAAGGGAAGGGACAAGUUUAAUCCACGCAGGUUUUGCCUGUUCAAGGGUUUGUUCAGAAACUUUGACACAGCCUUUUUACCAGUUUUAAAACCACAUUUAGAACGUCUCGUCUCAGAUUCUCAUGAAAGUGCUCAACGUUGUGGAGCUGAAAUCAUUGCAGGAUUGAUACGAGGUUCCAAACACUGGUAUCAUGAAAAGGUAGAGCAACUGUGGGAAACCCUCUCUCCCCUUCUUCGAACUGCUUUGUCCAGCAUCACAGUGGAGACUUACAAUGACUGGGGAACAUGCAUUGCCACAGCUUGUGAGAGCAGGGACCCCCGUAAAUUGCACUGGCUUUUUGACUUGCUAAUGGAUGCCCCAUUGAGUGGGGAAGGAGGAUCAUUUGGAGAUGCAUGCCGACUAUACAUUUUGCAGGGUGGUUUGGCUCAACAAGAGUGGAGAGUACCUGAAUUGAUGCAUAGACUCCUUGAAUACCUUGAGCCUAAACUCACACAGGUCUAUAAAAAUGUGCGAGAAAGGAUAGGAAGUGUUCUGACAUACUUAUUCAUGAUAGACAUCACUCUACCUAAUUCAAAUCCGACACUGUCACCACGUGUCUCUGAAUUCACCAGCUAUAUCACGGGCAAACUUAAACCUCUUAUGGAAAUUGAUGAAGAGAUACAAAAUCAUGUUGUUGACGAUAAUGGUAUUGGGGAACAAGAUGAAAGAACCCAAGCUAUUAAGCUUCUGAAAACAGUUUUGAAAUGGUUAAUGGCAAGUGCAGGAAGGUCAUUUUCUACAGCAAUUGCAGAACAGCUCCAUCUUAUGCCGCUGUUGUUCAAGAUUGCUCCAGUGGAAAAUGACGAGAGCUAUGAUGAACUCAAAAGAGAUGCUAAGAUGUGUUUAUCACUCAUGUCUCAGGGAUUGCUAUAUCCCCAGCAAGUCACUAUGGUACUAGAUAUUAUGAAGCAGACAUCAGAGAGCAGUUCUUGGCAUGCAAAGUACACUGUUUUAACUUACCUCCAGACCAUGGUGUUCUACAAUCUCUUUGUAUUUUUGGACAAUAAACAGGCUGUCCAAGAUAUAAGAUGGCUUGUCUUAAAACUUUUAGAAGAUGAACAAUUAGAGACAAGAGAGAUGGCUGCUAUCACCUUGAGUGGUCUGUUGCAGUGCAAUUUCUUGACUAUGGAUUCUGCCAUGCAGCUGCACUUCGAACAGCUCUGCAAGACCAGACUUCCAAAAAAGAGGAAGCGAGACCCAGGCACAGUAGCAGAUACAAUUCCUGCAGCAGAUUUGGUUCGUCGGCAUGCUGGAGUGCUAGGAUUAAGUGCCUGCAUCUUAUCGAGUCCAUAUGAAGUGCCCACUUGGAUGCCACAGCUUCUGAUGAACCUCAGUGGUCACCUAAAUGACCCACAACCUAUAGAGAUGACCGUGAAAAAAACAUUAUCUAAUUUUCGAAGAACUCACCAUGAUAACUGGCAAGAGCAUAAACAGCAGUUCACAGACGAUCAGUUAGUGAUUCUUGCAGACCUCCUUGUCUCACCAUGUUAUUAUGCCUGAGGAGCUUCACUGAAUUGGACUAUGUCAUUCAUAAUUAUAAUGGCAAUGUGUGGACUAAGGUUGGACUGAAGAAAUUUCUAUAAGUACAAAAAUCACUAAUAACUACAUAACAACUAGAUAGUAGUUCUAAUGACACUAAAGGAAAAGAGUAUUGGUGCUACCACUAUUGAACAAUGGAGAACAUUUAUUUUGUACAUAUGCCUGAGAAUCCCACUUAACCGUACAAAUCUCUGAAGAUCCAAGGAAGCUGCAAAUACUAAUAUUUUGUGUUCUUAAAGAUAUGGAGAUUUUUUUUCAAUCCAAGUAAAUAAUUCACCAAACAGUAGAUAUUGUGUACAUAAAUGUGUUUAGUAGUAUUUUGACUUCAAGUUUAUAAUAUGUAGACAAUACUGCUUUUGCUAAUUUACAGAAAUUGUAAUUAAAAACAAAUCACUUUGCUGAAUUUGUACAGCUCUUGUACAGUUUUUGCUCAAAAUAUCUAACUUCUUGAUUGUUCUUAAGAUAGUUGUUGGCUAUUUAAUUGACACAUUUCAUAACUGUUAUUUAGGGCUGUAAAGGAAAUGUAAAAACUGUACAAAGGAGAUAAAAUACAUUUGUACAGAAUGUAAUCUUUAAAGAUGUGGUGUUGUGAUAUUGAGCUUCAUUUGUAAUGUUGUGAAUGUUUAGUGGUUCUGUCUUCAGAUCACAUGCUUUUCUCAUGGUUCUGUAGCUAUGCUUUCAAGAAAGUACAUUUUAAUCAUAAGUUUUGCUUUAAUGAUUAAAGUUUACCCUGCACCUUUGGUGUCUUCAAGAUCAUUUUAAUGUCUUGGAGUCUAUGAACUUUUUAUUAAAUUAAUUUAAGAAUUUUAUUAAAUUUCACUAUCUUCAUUUGCUUUUCUCAAUUACUUAGUAUUUGUUACAAUGUAUGAAAGGCCAGUAUCAAAAGUACUAUCCUUUAAAAUGCAGUUGAUGCAAUGAAAACCAUGGGUAAAAGGUCAGAUCAUAUGAUUGUACUUUUUCAAAGACUUAACCACUAUAAAGGGUUGUGUCAAAAGAAAUGGUUUAAGAUGAACUAUCACAUUUUAAAGCCAAUAAAUGGAUUGUUUUAUUACA